UACGUAGGGUGCAAGCGUUGUCCGGAAUUAUUGGGCGUAAAGAGCUCGUAGGCGGUCAGUCGCGUCUGCUGUGAAAACUCGGGGCUUAACUCCGGGCCUGCAGUGGGUACGGGCUGACUAGAGUGCGGUAGGGGAGACUGGAAUUCCUGGUGUAGCGGUGAAAUGCGCAGAUAUCAGGAGGAACACCGGUGGCGAAGGCGGGUCGCUGGGACGUGACUGACGCUGAGACGCGAAAGCGUGGGGAGCAAACAGG
rnacentral:rRNA from 1 species